rnacentral:misc_RNA from 1 species
UCUACCAACAGGAUAUACAACCUGCACUCCCUCACAAAAUCCACAAAAACAAGUGAAGGAAAAAGUAUAAGAAACUUAGGCAGAAAGGAAAGAAGAAGCAGUGUAGUCAAAAAGCCCUCACAAAAGUACUACAACAAAUAGAAAAGCCCUUUUACAUAUGCUAUGCUAAGCGAAGCGCGUUUUGUGAAGCAAGGGCUUUUUACGCUUAAAGCGCAAAGAGCACACACGCGCACAAAAAGCGCAAAGCACAAAGAGCCUUAACUUUAAGGCCAACGUUGGAAGAUGUUGAGACUGAUUUAGAUGAAGAUUUUGAUGUAAAUUGAUCUUAUUUUGGGGAUGAGGAUGAAAUUGUUGAGGACUCUGAUAAGAAAUCUAGUGAAUAUCUCUAGGCUAUGAUUAUGAAUUUAAAUGUUAAAAACUUUUGGAUAUUUGAUGAUUUACUAAGGGUAUAAAUUUUAUAUAGAUAAUUGUAUUUUCUUCGUAUAUUAUAUUAUUAGUUAAGUUUUUACUAAUUUUGCGCUUUCUUCAAUGAAGAAAUUGCAUUUUUUGUGCUUUACACUUUGAACGAUAGGGUGAUGCAUCACUUUGAGUGUGCCUUAUGCUUUUAACUACCUUGGUUAAUAGUAGAGUUUUAAUAGUUUUAUGAUAAUGAUUUUGCUAGUUAGAUUGUCUAAUUUCCUUCUUUUUUUAAUGUAUCUUUGUAGAUAAAUUUAGAUUAUGGUUUAGAUGACCUUUAGAAAGGAUUACUUAAAUUAUGUUUUGUCAGAACUGCCUUCAACCAGAGGCGAGGACCUGCAGACCAAGUGCUUGCUUGAACUCUAUGGAUUAAAGGUAAACUUGAUAUGUUAUAAUUGCCAGUGUUAUGUCAAGUUUGUGCUUGUUCAUAAGUUUUUAUUUGAGAGUAAAAGCUGUCAUCUGAAUUGAUGAUAAGACAGAAUUUGGUUGCUUUACAGUGGAAUGAUAUUUCUCCAAGAAACUUACUGUCUAGUCGGAUGAAAAACAAUUCACCAUCUAAAAGUAGAAUCCUGUUUUAUCCUCUUUCUAUAAACAUGUUGAACUUUAUUGCUGAUUCUUAGGAAUGCUCUUUUGGAGGAGUUUUUGAGAGCCUGUAAAGCAAACCUAAAUUUAGCUCAAUUAUAAGUCACUAAUUUCUUUUUUGGUAUUUUGCUGGAUUCAAUGCUAAAGAAGCUUUUUCGUUGAUGUUAGUGGAUGAUUAUGUUUAUUUGUUCUCUUUGGGGAUCGAGGGAUGACAUAUGUUUUGUCCUUGUGGGCAAGUACUUUUUUCUGGCAGCUAGCAGAGUUGCAAAGGAAAGUACAAUCAGAAGUGAGUUCAGAGUAUUGGCUUCGCUUGAAUUGUGCAUCUCCUGAUAAGCAGUUAUUUGACUGGGGUAUGAUGAGAUUGCGUCGACCUUUAUAUGGCAUAGGAGAUGCUUUUGCCACAGAAGCUGAUGAUCAAUUCAGGAAGAAACGGGAUGUGGAGAGGCUUUCAAGAUUAGAAGAAGAAGAGAGAAACCAUAUAGAGACUAGGAAAAGAAAAUUUUUUGCAGAAAUACUUAAUGCAGUUCGAGAGUUCCAAUUGCAAGUUCAGGCUUCUCUUAAGCGCAGAAAGCAAAGGAAUGAUGGGGUCCAGGCAUGGCAUGGAAGGCAAAGGCAGCGUGCUACUCGAGCUGAAAAACUGAGGUUUCAAGCCCUGAAGGCGGAUGAUCAAGAAGCUUAUAUGAGAUUAGUAAAGGAGAGCAAGAAUGAGCGACUUACAAUGCUUCUUGAAGAAACAAAUAAACUUCUUGUUAAUUUGGGGGCUGCAGUUCAGCGUCAGAAAGAUGGAAAACAUUCAGAUGGCAUUGAACCCUUGAAAGACUCAGAAGCUGAUUCUCCUGAGUUGGAUCCUUCAAGAAAUGAAAGCCCAGGGGAUACACCUGAGGAAGAUGCAGACAUCAUUGAGUCUGAUCGCAAUGAUGAUAGUAGUGAUUUACUUGAAGGUCAGCGGCAGUAUAACUCAGCCAUUCAUUCAAUUCAGGAGAAGGUAACAGAGCAGCCAUCCAUUCUUCAAGGUGGACAAUUAAGAUCAUACCAGUUAGAAGGACUUCAAUGGAUGCUCUCUUUGUUCAACAACAAUUUAAAUGGAAUAUUAGCUGAUGAGAUGGGAUUGGGGAAGACAAUACAAACCAUUUCAUUGAUUGCUUAUCUGAAGGAGAAAAAAGGUGUCUGUGGGCCGCACUUGAUAGUGGCUCCAAAGGCUGUACUACCCAAUUGGAUCAAUGAAUUCUCAACAUGGGUUCCUGAGGAUGAGUAUGUGAAAAGCAUUCCUUGAUUUUACAAUGUCUUUCUCAGGAUGCGGAUGUAUUGUGUGCACAUGCAUGCCAUGUACCAUUUGCUUUGAAAUUGCUCAUACUUUUUCUUCCAGGUCCAGGAUUAAAGCUGUUCUUUAUGAUGGGCGUCUAGACGAGAGAAAGGCAUUGAGGGAACAGUUAUCAAGAGAUGGAAACUUUGAUGUGUUGAUCACACACUAUGAUCUAAUCAUGAGAGAUAAAGCAUUUUUGAAAAAAAUUUACUGGGUUUACAUGAUUGUUGAUGAAGGGCAUCGAUUAAAGAAUCAUGAGUGUGCUCUGGCACGAACUCUUCUGUCCGGCUACCAGAUUCAACGUAGACUUCUACUAACUGGAACCCCAAUCCAGAAUAGCUUACAAGAAUUAUGGUCUCUGCUUAAUUUUCUCCUCCCAAAUAUUUUUAAUUCAGUUCAGAACUUUGAGGAAUGGUUCAAUGCUCCUUUCGCGGAUAGGGGUGAUGUUACUCUUACUGACGAGGAGCAGUUGUUGAUCAUUCGGCGUUUGCAUCAUGUUAUUAGGCCGUUUAUACUGAGGAGGAAAAAAGAUGAGGUGGAGAAAUACCUCCCUGGGAAGUCCCAAGUUAUACUGAAAUGUGAUAUGUCAGCAUGGCAGAAAGUUUAUUACCAACAAGUUACGGAAAUGGGCAGAGUUGGCCUACAUACUGGCUCUGGGAAAUCAAAAAGUCUACAGAACUUAUCCAUGCAGCUCAGAAAGUGUUGUAACCACCCAUACCUAUUUGUUGGAGAAUAUAAUAUAUGGCGGAGGGAAGAAAUCAUGAGAGCUUCUGGAAAGUUUGAACUACUUGAUCGUUUACUCCCAAAACUUCGAGCAACAGACCAUAGAGUGCUGCUUUUCUCACAAAUGACCCGUCUUAUGGACAUUCUUGAAGUUUAUUUGCAACUACAUGACUAUAAGUAUCUUAGACUUGAUGGGUCAACAAAAACUGAGGAAAGAGGAUCUUUACUAAAGCAAUUCAAUGCUCCAGACUCUCCUUAUUUCAUGUUUCUCUUAAGCACUCGUGCUGGAGGACUUGGUUUGAAUUUACAAACAGCUGAUACCGUCAUAAUAUUUGAUAGUGAUUGGAAUCCUCAAAUGGACCAACAAGCAGAGGAUCGGGCACAUCGUAUUGGACAAAAGAAGGAAGUUAGGGUCUUUGUGUUGGUUAGUGUUGGAUCAAUAGAAGAGGUAAUCUUGGAGCGUGCAAAACAGAAGAUGGGAAUCGAUGCCAAAGUUAUCCAGGCAGGACUUUUUAAUACAACAUCCACUGCCCAGGACAGAAGAGAGAUGUUAGAGGAGAUAAUGCGAAGAGGAACAAGCUCACUUGGUACAGAUGUGCCAAGUGAGAGAGAAAUUAACCGCCUUGCAGCUAGAUCACCAGAAGAGUUUCGGAUCUUUGAGGGUAUGGAUAAGGAGAGAAGGCAGAAGGAGAAUUAUAGAUCUCGUCUUAUGGAAGAGCACGAGGUACCUGAAUGGGCAUAUUCCCACCCUGAUAAGGAAGACAAAACCAAAGCAUUAGAGCAGAAUAAUACUGCUGUCUUGGGGAAGCGGAGAAGAAAGGAGGUCACCUAUGCUGAUACAUUAAGCGAUUUACAAUGGAUGAAGGCUGUCGAAAGUGGACAAGACAUAUCAAAGCUGUCAACUAAAGGAAGGAGACGGGAACAUCUUCCAGCCGAAGGCAAUGAAUCAGCUAGUAAUAGUGCUGGAACAGAAAAAAGGGCUUUUGAAUUGAGGAAUGAAGUCAUGACCACGGCAAGUGAGGGAACAAGUGAAGAUACUUUUGGUUCAACCCAAAAGAGAUUCAAGCCUGAUGGAGGAAUUCAUGAAAAUCCUGAAUAUCAGAGUGUAGAAAAGUCUGAACAUCAAGGAGUCAGAGGAAACAAUUGGAGUGGGCAUGUGUUUACAUGGAAUGCCCAUAAGAAGAAGAGAUCUAGCUAUGUCAUCCAGAAUUCAUCAUCUGAUUCCAGAGGGCAGAAUUCCAAUGGAAGGGGAAACGGUUGGGCCUGAUUUAAUCCUACAAAAAAAAUUCCAGUGAUGGGGGAUUCUGAAGGUUCCCUGAGCCUUAUUAUCUUUUGUUGCUGAUGUGUAGCACCCAAGGCUUGAAUGGGUUGUCAGUUGUCACUGGUGGCCUGUGGAGUAACUGCUUGCCUGUUGAUUAUGCACAAUUAAUCUCUGUUUUGGCAUCUGCAACUUGGAUUGCGCCAACCAGCAAACUAAUGUAACAUAACCCAAGUUAAGAAAUAUGACCCCAUCUCAUCUCCAUUGGGACUGCACUAGAAUGGAUGGGAAUGCAAAGCUGUGGCCACUUCUAUUUAUGGGUACUUGUAAUAUUACGCAUCAGGAAGAACGCUAUGCUUCCCUAAUUUGUGAAAUUUAUCUUUUAUCUUUAUUCUGGCUUUUAAAGAGCCAAUUUUUUAAAGUUGGAUGCCUAUCUGAGACAGCUAUGCGUAGUACAUUAGACAGGUUUUUGAUGGGAAUGUUUUAUAUUUGUGGUCCACAGAGGCUAAAUAGGACAUGAACAUGAUAAUAAAAGCUUCUGGGUCUGAAAUAAAUAUUCUAUGAAGC